rnacentral:rRNA from 1 species
AUGGAACGAGUUGCCGGAAUGUAUUUUGAUGAACUUGUUGAUAGAAGAUUUAUCCAACCUGUGUCCAUCAACUUCAACAAUGAGGUGGUGUCCUGCACAGUUCAGGCCAUGGUUCAUGAUCUUAUUGCACACAAGUCUGCAGAAGAGAAUUUCGUUGUGGUAGUAGAUCACAAUCGAAAGAUUUUGGCACUUUCUCAUAAGGUCCGUCGACUAUCUCUCCAACUUGGUGAUGCAAAAUAUGCCAAGAUACCGGCAAACAUCAGAAAGUCACAAGUGCGUUCACUUGGAGUUUUUGGAUUAUCAGAGUGCAUGCCUUGCAUUGCAGAGUUCAAGCUUGUCCGGGUUCUGAACCUUACUUUCCGGCCAUUAUAA